GUGCCGGAGGCGGGGCGUGGGGUGCGCGCCCGCCCCCGGUACCGCGGCUGCGCCUUGCCCGCGCCCGCCGCCGCCAUGGACAGCGACGAGGAGACGCUGGAGGAGAUCGUGGAAGGGCAUCUAGAUGACGAUGGGCUGCCGCAUGGAUUCUGUACAGUAACCUACUCAUCAACAGACAGAUUUGAAGGAAAUUUUGUGCAUGGAGAAAAGAAUGGCCGUGGCAAAUUCUUCUUUUUUGAUGGAAGCACCCUGGAGGGAUACUAUGUUGAUGAUGCCCUGCAAGGGCAGGGAAUCUACACCUACGAGGAUGGCGUGGUCCUUCAUGGCACCUACGUGGACGGAGAGCUGAACGGCCCGGCGCAGGAGUACGACAGCGACGGGCGGCUCAUCUUCAAAGGGCAGUACAAGGACAACAUCCGGCACGGCGUCUGCUGGAUUUAUUACCUGGAUGGAGGCAGCCUUGUGGGAGAAGUGAAUGAAGAUGGGGAGAUGACUGGAGAGAAAAUAGCCUAUGUGUAUCCUGAUGGAAAGACUGCAUAUUCUGGAAGGUUCAUAGAUGGAGAAAUGAUAGAAGCAAAACUGGCAACUCUGACAGCUGUUGAGGAUGGCAAACCUCAAUUUGAAGUAGUUCCAGGCAGCCCAGUGUACAGUUUUGACAAAUCCACUUCAUCCUGCAUUUCUACAAAUGCCCUUCUUCCUGAUCCUUAUGAAUCAGAGAGGGUGUAUGUGGAUGUCUCCCUCAUUUCCAGUGCUGGAGAAGGAUUGUUUUCAAAAGUAGCAGCAGAAGCCAGUACAGUGAUGUCCUUCUAUAACGGAGUGCGAAUUACACACCAGGAGGUAGACAGCAGAGACUGGGCCCUCAAUGGAAAUACAAUAUCCCUGGAUGAUGAGACAGUCAUAGACGUGCCAGAGCCCUACAACCACGCUGCCAAGUACUGUGCCUCCCUGGGGCACAAGGCCAACCAUUCCUUCACUCCCAACUGCACCUAUGAACCGUUUGUUCAUCCUCGUUUUGGGCCCAUCAAGUGUAUCCGUACCAUCAGGGCUGUGGAGAAGGAUGAGGAGCUGACAGUGGCUUAUGGCGUGGAGAUGGCUUUUGCCACUGGGUGGUGAAAGAGCUCAGUGUGUCCUUCCAAGGGGCGAGCUGGCAUCCCCUGGUUCAAACACAGGGGAGAUGCAACAAAUGAUCCUUAAAAUUACAAAUGGUCGUUUCUGCUCUUUGGGGAGGUAUUUAUGCAGCAUUACAUGCAGCCGCCAUAAAUAAUUGCAGUAGUAAGGCUAGUCACGUUUCCAGGACGUACCUCUCAGCUUGUCUCUUCAUGAUACCCUACAAACAACCCAUCCCUCCUUCCUGUAGAUUCCCUUCUAGAAAACUUUUCCUACUGCAGCUGUAACAAGUUUAACUUUGAGCUAAGAACCAGACUAAAAUUGUGUAUUACUUAACAGUUUCUGCUGGGCCUUCUGCUAUUUUAAUACUCUCUAGCCCAUAAUUACUGGGUGUUUCUGUUCUGAAGAACUAAGUGCUAAAGAAUAAUCUUUGGGGUAAGCUUGUACAUGUGUUAACAGUUAACCCUGGAGUAUUCAACUUGUGUACAGUACUUGACAGGUGUUUUAUGACAUUUGUACUCGAACUAUGAGCCUUACUGAACAUCUGUAGGUUUAUUCAUGACUUUUAAAAAUGGAUAACUACAAGAAAGAUGUUUACAUGAAUGAUGUUUGCCCUUCCUUUCAUGUUAUGAAUGGGGUUUUUAUAGUGUGUUUGGGCGUAUGUGCAAGGAAGCAAGAGAGGUGUUUCUGGGGAAAAACAGACUUGACAAACAUUUGUAAUAAGUGAAUUUUAAAGAUUGCUUUAAUUGCGCUAUGAAGGCAAUGCAAAAAUAAACUAUUCAACAGAAAA